rnacentral:rRNA from 1 species
GUCAAGUCAUCAUGCCCCUUAUGCCUUGGGCUGCAAACAUGCUACAAUGGCCGGUACAGAGGGUGGCGAUAUCGUAAGGUGGAGCGAAUCCCGUAAAGCCGGUCUCAGUUCGGAUUGGGGUCUGCAACUCGGCCCCAUGAAGCCGGAGUCGCUAGUAAUCGCAGAUCAGCAAUGCUGCGGUGAAUACGUUCCCGGGCCUU